CUGGGUAUUACCAUUAUUAACAAGUCAGUCCCUGUAUUUUUAGAAACCUAUUAAAACGUCCUUAUGUUUUAUUUCCAUCAACGAAAUAGUCCUUCCGUCCUAUUUUCCGUUAAAAUUAGAUAAAGGAGGAGAGAGAAAAUUUUUAAAAUCCAAUUUUACCCUCAAAUAAAACCAUUUAUUUAGUCCUUGUAUAUUACAAUUAUUAACAAGUUAGUC
rnacentral:lncRNA from 1 species